rnacentral:rRNA from 1 species
GACGAACGCUGGCGGCGCGCUUCACACAUGCAAGUCGAGCGAUCGACUCCGGGUCUUCGGACCUGGAGCACGGAGCGGCGAACGGGUGAGUAACACGUGGGUAACCUGCCCUCGGCACUGGGAUAACUCCGGGAAACCGGUGCUCAUACCGGAUCGCCUCCGAAGCCUGCGGGCGUCGGAGCAAAGGUAGCUUCGGCCUCUGGUCGGGGAGGGGCCCGCGGCCGAUUAGCUUGUUGGUGAGGGAAAGGCUCACCAAGGCGACGAUCGGUAGCUGGUGUGAGAGCAUGACCAGCCACACUGGGACUGAGACACGGCCCAGACUCCUACGGGAGGCAGCAGUGGGGAAUCUUGCGCAAUGGGCGAAAGCCUGACGCAGCGACGCCGCGUGGGGGAAGAAGGCCUUCGGGUUGUAAACCCCUUUCAGGAGGGACGAAGCCACUCGGGUUAAUAGCCCAGAGGGUGACGGUACCUCCAGAAGAAGCUCCGGCUAACGAAGGGCCAGCCGCCGCAGUAAUAC